rnacentral:rRNA from 1 species
CAAUAGCGUAUAUUAAAGUUGUUGCAGUUAAAAAGCUCGUAGUUGGAUUUCUGUUUUGGAUGUCCGGUCCGCUCCCUCUGGGAGUGCGUACUUAUGGAUGUUCGAGGCAUUUUUUGUGAGGUCGCUUUUCUGCCAUUAAGUUGGUGGUUUUGCGGGCUUGCAUCGUUUACUGUGAAAAAAUUAGAGUGUUUAAAGCAGGCGUUUGCUCAUUUGAAUACAUUAGCAUGGAAUAAUAAGAUACGGCCUUGGUGGUCUAUUUUGUUGGUUUGCACACCAGGGUAAUGAUUAAUAGGGACAGUUGGGGGUAUUCAUAUUUCAUUGUCAGAGGUGAAAUUCUUGGAUUUAUGAAAGACGAACUACUGCGAAAGCAUUUGCCAAGGAUGUUUUCAUUAA